rnacentral:rRNA from 1 species
CGUGUAGGCGGAUGGGGACGUCGGUUGCUGAAAGCCCCCGGCUCAACCGGGGAACGGGCACCGAAACGCCCCGUCUGGAGGGACGUAGGGGGACCUGGAACUUCCGGUGGAGCGGUGAAAUGCGUUGAGAUCGGAAGGAACGCCCGUGGCGAAAGCGAGGUCCUGGACGUUUACUGACGCUGAGACGCGAAAGCUAGGGGAGCGAACG